UAAGAUUCAGCUUAGGCAGAUCUUGCUAUUCACACAAACAAAGUAGCCAAAGAGUAAACUUGGGAUCAUAGUACUGGUCUAGUGUUGUCUUUUCAGACAUCUACCACUGACCAGCCUCCAAAUUCCCACACAUGA